GGGGUUGUCGCUCAGUGGUGGAGCUCUUGCCUAGCAUGCAUGAGGCACUGAGUUCAAUUCUUAGCACCACA
rnacentral:tRNA from 1 species